UGCGUAGGCGGCCUAUUAAGUUGGAUGUGAAAUACCCGGGCUUAACUUGGGGGGUGCAUCCGAUACUGGCAGGCUAGAGUGCAGGAGAGGAAAGCGGAAUUCCUAGUGUAGCGGUGAAAUGCGUAGAUAUUAGGAGGAACACCAGUGGCGAAGGCGGCUUUCUGGACUGUAACUGACGCUGAGGCACGAAAGCGUGGGGAGCAAACAG
rnacentral:rRNA from 1 species